CGGCUACAGGGCCCGCCCAACGCAAUGCCCGUCGAGCGGAUGAGGGAGCUUGCUCCUGGAUUCCGCGGCGGACGGGUGACUAAUGCCUAGGAAUCUGCCUGGUAGUGGGGGAUAACGUCCGGAAACGGGCGCUAAUACCGCAUACGUCCUGAGGGAGAAAGUGGGGGAUCUUCGGACCUCACGCUAUCAGAUGAGCCUAGGUCGGAUUAGCUAGUUGGUGGGGUAAAGGCCUACCAAGGCGACGAUCCGUAACUGGUCUGAGAGGAUGAUCAGUCACACUGGAACUGAGACACGGUCCAGACUCCUACGGGAGGCAGCAGUGGGGAAUAUUGGACAAUGGGCGAAAGCCUGAUCCAGCCAUGCCGCGUGUGUGAAGAAGGUCUUCGGAUUGUAAAGCACUUUAAGUUGGGAGGAAGGGCAGUAAGUUAAUACCUUGCUGUUUUGACGUUACCAACAGAAUAAGCACCGGCUAACUUCGUGCCAGCAGCCGCGGUAAUACGAAGGGUGCAAGCGUUAAUCGGAAUUACUGGGCGUAAAGCGCGCCGUAGGUGGUUCAGCAAGUUGGAUGUGAAAUCCCCGGGCUCAACCUGGGAACUGCAUCCAAAACUACUGAGCUAGAGUACGGUAGAGGGUGGUGGAAUUUCCUGUGUAGCCGUGAAAUGCGUAGAUAUAGGAAGGAACACCAGUGGCGAAGGCGACCACCUGGACUGAUACUGACACUGAGGUGCGAAAGCCUGGGGAGCAAACACGAUUAGAUACCCCUGGUAGUCCACGCCGUAAACGAUGUCGACUAGCCUUGGGAUCCUUGACAUCUCAGUGGCGCAGCCUAACGCCAUAAGUCUACCGCCUGCGCGAGUACGGCGCAAGGCUAAAACUCUCAAUGAAUUGACCGGGGGCCUGCACAAGCCGGCGCGAGACUGUGGUUUAAUCCUAAGCAACGCGAAAACCUU
rnacentral:rRNA from 1 species